UGGCAACAGCAGCCUAUGCAGUGAGCA
rnacentral:misc_RNA from 1 species